GAUGAAGAACGCAGCGAAAUGCGAUAAGUAAUGUGAAUUGCAGAAUUCAGUGAAUCAUCGAAUCUUUGAACGCACAUUGCGCCCCCUGGUAUUCCGGGGGGCAAGCCUGUCCGAGCGUCAUUACAACCCUCAAGCUCAGCUUGGUGUUGGGCCCCGCCGCCCCGGCGGGCCCUAAAGUCAGUGGCGGUGCCGUCCGGCUCCGAGCGUAGUAAUUCUUCUCGCUCUGGAGGUCCGGUCGUGUGCUCGCCAGCAACCCCCAAUUUUUUUCAGGUUGACCUCGGAUCAGGUAGGGAUACCCGCUGAACUUAAGCAUAUCAAUAAGCGGAGGA
rnacentral:misc_RNA from 1 species